ACGUCCUACGGGAGAAAGGGGGCUCCGGCUCCCGCUAUGGGAUGAGCCUAUGUCGGAUUAGCUAGUUGGUGAGGUAACGGCUCACCAAGGCSACGAUCCGUAGCUGGUCUGAGAGGAUGAUCAGCCACAUCGGGACUGAGACACGGCCCGAACUCCUACGGGAGGCAGCAGUGGGGAAUAUUGGACAAUGGGGGMAASCCUGAUCCAGCCAUGCCGCGUGUGUGAAGAAGGCCCUCGGGUUGUAAAGCACUUUCAGCGAGGAAGAACGCCUAGCGGUUAAUACCCGCUAGGAAAGACAUCACUCGCAGAAGAAGCACCGGCUAACUCCGUGCCAGCAGCCGCGGUAAUACGGAGGGUGCAAGCGUUAAUCGGAAUUACUGGGCGUAAAGCGCGCGUAGGUGGCUUGAUAAGCCGGUUGUGAAAGCCCCGGGCUCAACCUGGGAACGGCAUCCGGAACUGUCAAGCUAGAGUGCAGGAGAGGAAGGUAGAAUUCCCGGUGUAGCGGUGAAAUGCGUAGAGAUCGGGAGGAAUACCAGUGGCGAAGGCGGCCUUCUGGACUGACACUGACACUGAGGUGCGAAAGCGUGGGUAGCAAACAGGAUUAGAUACCCUGGUAGUCCACGCCGUAAACGAUGUCGACCAGCCGUUGGGUGCCUAGCGCACUUUGUGG
rnacentral:rRNA from 1 species